UACGGAAGGCAGCAGUGGGGAAUAUUGCACAAUGGGCGAAAGCCUGAUGCAGCUAUGCCGCGUGUAUGAAGAAGGCCUUAGGGUUGUAAAGUACUUUCAUCGGGGAGGAAAAAACAAAACUAAUAAUUUUAUUUCUUGACGUUACCCGAAAAAGAAGCACCGGCUAACUCCGUGCCAGCAGCCGCGGUAAUACGGAGGGUGCUAGCGUUAAUCAGAAUUACUGGGCGUAAAGAGCACGUAGGUGGUUUUUUUAAGUCAGAUGUGAAAUCCCUGGGCUUAACCUGGAACUGCAUUUUGAAACUGAAAUACUAGAGUAUCGUAGAGGGAGGUAGAAUUCUAGGUGUAGCGGUGAAAUGCGUAGAUAUCUGGAGGAAUACCUGUGGCGAAAGCGGCCUCCUAAACGAAUACUGACACUGAGUGCGAAAGCGUGGGGAGCAAACGAGGGAUUAGGAUACCCGU
rnacentral:rRNA from 1 species